rnacentral:rRNA from 1 species
UACGUAGGGUCCAAGCGUUAAUCGGAAUUACUGGGCGUAAAGCGUGAGUAGGCGGUUUCGCAAGUCCGAUGUGAAAUCCCCGGGCUUAACCUGGGAACUGCGUUGGAAACUACGAGACUAGAGUGCGGCAGAGGCGAGUGGAAUUCCUGGUGUAGCGGUGAAAUGCGCAGAUAUCAGGAGGAACACCAAUUGCGAAGGCAGCUCGCUGGGACGUUACUGACGCUGAGACGCGAAAGCGUGGGGAGCAAACAGG